AGCGAACGCUGGCGGCAGGCCUAACACAUGCAAGUCGAACGGCAGCACAGUAAGAGCUUGCUAUUACGGGCGGCGAGUGGCGGACGGGUGAGGUAUACAUCGGACUCUACUUUUUCGUGGGGGAUAACGUAGGGCAACUAAUGCUAAUACGCUAUUCCACCUACGGGUGAAUUCAGGAGCUCUUGGGACUUUGCGUGAACUAAUGAGCUGUGGUCGGAUUAGUUGGUUGGCGGGGUAAAGGCCCACCAAGGCGGCGCUGCGUAGCUAGUCUGAGAGGGUGAUGAGCCACACUGGGACUGAGACACGGUCCAGGCUCCUACGGGAGGCAGCAGUGGGGAAUAUUGGACGAUGGGCGCAAGCCUGCUCCAGCCAUACCGCGUGGGUGAAGAAGGCCUUCGGGUUGUAAAGCCCUUUUGUUGGGAAAGAAAAGCAGCAGGUGAAUACACGGCUGUUCUGACGGUACCCAAAGAAUAAGCACCGGCUAACUUCGUG
rnacentral:rRNA from 1 species